rnacentral:rRNA from 1 species
GGGUAGCUAUGUGUGGACGGGAUAAGUGCUGAAAGCAUCUAAGCAUGAAGCCCCCCUCAAGAUGAGAUUUCCCAACUUCGGUUAUAAGAUCCCUCAAAGAUGAUGAGGUUAAUAGGUUCKAGGUGGAAGCAUGGUGACAUGUGGAGCUGACGAAUACUAAUCGAUCGAAGACUUAAUCAAAA